AGGCGGAGCUGUGGGGCUAGUGCUGCUACACUGAAUGUCUGUUAAUACUGUGAAACUCUAAUGCAGACAAUAAAUGAAGAUGCAGCAUCUGUCUUGGUCCUGUCUUUAACACAACGCAGAGUGAGCGCCGUAACCGGGCGUGUGGUUACAUAUGUGUAUGUGUAUGUAUGUAUUUUUUUUUUUGUGUGUUUUGAGGGUUGUUAGCUAUUCCUGAUCCACACUCCAGUCCAGAGGUGGCGGUAAUGCACCAAAUACGCUGGUUUGCCAACCGCCAUUAAACGACAAGAAGAAGAAGAAGAAGAGUGAGCGAAUGAGGGAGGCAUGUGUGGAGCCCCUGCUUUUAUGGGUGGUGAUCCCUGUAGCCAUGAGGCUCUAAAAUCAAAUCAGGGCAGCAGCAUGGUGGAAUAAGAGCUGGAAGUUUGGUGCUUUUGCGGUGUUUAUUUUAAGGGGUAAGCACAACCAAACUACUACCAUUUAUGUAUAGGUGGUUUUAAUGGAAUAAGUGGAUGCAUGUGUGAAGUUUAUAUAUUUUUUAUUAUAUUAGAUGUUUGUAUCAGAUCCUAAACUUCAGAAGAGACCUCAUACUCCGCUGUGAUAUUUAGAGUAGCCCUUUCUGGGUAUUUGGUUUGGGAUAUUUGUAUUAAAUAGGAAAUGGGUAUUAAAUAGAUCAAGUUUUAUUAAUGAUUAAAGGUGUUUUUGACAUGAUUUUGUAUAUUGUUAUAGAUGUUAAUUCUGAACUAUUGCUGAAGUCCUAGGUAAUGUCCAGUAAGAUUUAAAGUAGCCUUCGCUGGGUAAGCUCACCUUUUGUAAUUAGUUUUUUUUUUAUUAAUAUUUUUUAAAUAUAUUUUUGAUAAGUAAAAGUAUGCUUUAAGUUCAAUGUAUUUUAUUUUAUGAACUUGAUAAUGUUUUCUGUUUCUGUUAUGUACAGAGGGCUGAGUCACGUUUUUGUUCCUCUCAAGUUUUCUUCUACAUGUAUUUCAGUGAUGUGAUGAUAGCUGCUUGUGAUUUGCACUAGGGUUGCUGUGUUAAUUUUUAAGAACUAAAUUUACAUAUUUGUGGGUUUAUUUUUUAGUGUGCACAUGUGCAAUGAUUCAAAAUGUUUUGUUUUAUAAAACCCUCAUCCAUAUCAGAACAAGAACAUGGUAUUUUUUAUGUGUAGUAUUUGAUUAAAUUGCUCAAAUAAAUUGUAUAAUUUAAUUUUAA